rnacentral:miRNA from 1 species
UGCUGAGUGAUUAUAUUACUACCUGAAAUAAACAAGCAGUUUUGUUAUUUCAGGUAGUAAUAUAACCAUUCAGCAC